AUGCUUGACCUUUAAUCAUUCCUUACAUCCAACGGCUCUCUAAUGUUAGUCCCAUUUGGUUAUGGAUGGUGACAGGACCGUUAAUUUGAGCUGGUACGCAUUCAUCUUGAGAUAAUACUUAGCGGAUGUCGGUUUUGUUGCUAUCACAGUGUGCUGUCACUAAUUCUCAUAUUGAUGUGAAUUGUUCUUCAGGUUGGUAAUUCGGACGGAAGCAAGGCAGUGCAUACUGAUUGAUUGAUCAAGGUGAAAUGUUACCUUUGUGUUGCAGGUCACAAUAUGACUCCCUCCUACCAGGUUCAUGAUGACUUGUGCAUCACACUUCUGAAAUGGUUAUCAAGGUUGUUUCCAUAUCAUGGGAAAAGAAUUCAGUCACGUGUUGCUUAUGCCCAGAUUGGAUCCACUUUGCGGUGCUUUUGGCAAAGUGAUAACUAUCAGAACGUGGAAGUCUUAUGACGGGUGGGAGGAAUUUCUGCCCUGCAAGGUUACCUUCCAUGCAUCAAAUCCGUUUCCUUGAGGUAUCAGUCGGUUAAGAUGCGACUAGAUCCUGUGUUUGCAGGUCAUGGCGUGCUUGCUAAAGGGUAGCAUGUGGCUGUUAUGCUGUUAGCUUUGGUUCUGCAGCCAAGAUUUCUUGCCGUUUAAAGGGAUAGUUUGAUGACAGUUGAUGUUAGCUAGUGAUGUGGUUCUGCAACAGCUUUGGUUGGCAGCGGUAUUGAUGACACAGGUGGUGCAAGUGAGAAAUCUUGACAAGGCUAGUAGCUAUGUUGGACCUUAAAAAUAAAUAACAGAGAUCCUUCUCGUCAAUUGAAGGAAUUUCAAUUUCGUUCCUCUUCUUCUGCAUCACAUUGAACGGCAUCCUUCUUUGUGUGGAUUUCUUGCAAUUUGCUCUUACCAAUGAUUCAACAUGGCUUCAUGGCUAUAUCGCAGAUAUUGCUCAUUAGGCAUUUCAUGCUGGUGGUGCAUUCAAUGGCACGGUAUUGGUGAUUUUACCGACGUAGCCCAUGUCAUGACAGUUUUGGUACGGAUGUGACGAACUUGCACCCUUUCAAUGCAUUGGUUUGCUUUUGAAACGCAGGGAUCAUCACAGUUGUCGAGCCCACUCUCAUGAUUAAUCAUUGCUUACUCCUUUGAAGUCGAGUUUUCUGGAAAUCCGUUCGUAGAAGCCAAGUGUAUCUUGUCUGCUGAAGCAUCACUUUGCAAUUUUCGUUUUCUGGUGCUUAUUUCUUUCUUAGCAUCUGGUGGAUCUUCAAGAGCAUUUUCAGACGAGGGAUUUUAUGUAGUCAUGAGCUUCAGGUUCAGAAGAGUAACCAACAGCUGUAAAGGCUUCCUUAAGAGUGCUUAAAACGACAAACAGUAUCUACUUCCCCUUCCAACUGCUACUUUAAUAAUGCAUUGAGUUAUCAUCAACGUCGUCAUUGAGUAUGUCUUCAUGGCUUAUAGCUUUGUCCUCAGAAAAUGUCUCUGCCAUAUCACACGACUUCCCUAGGAUGCCGACUGUUUGUAUUGAUCUUCCUCUGUUGCUUCACAUGUUAUUUGAUACUGUCGAUCACAUAUUUUGCACACUGUUGCUCAAAUGCUGUUUACAUUCGCUGUUAGUGUAGGCAAACCUUUAUUGUGAAUUUCUGACAGGUUUUGAGUUGGUUUUGGACAGGUUAAGACGUCUUGUACAGGUGGAUGCACAACUUAAUGGGAAUGGACCGGUCAUUGAAGAUCAACAAUUAGAUGCUCUUUUAUUCAAAACUUUAAUCUUUCUUGACUCCAGUAAUGUAACAUGGUGUUUAACACGGUGCAGCAUACUUAGAAUAUUUAACUCACGAAAAAUUAUUACAUGCUUGUAAUUUCACUAGCUGUUCCGUGAUCUUGGGCACUUGUGACUAUUUGAUAGUGAACGCAGGUACAUGAAACAUUGAUACAUGAUAUUCAAGUCUUGGCUUCUGUUUCGAUGAAGCGGCGGUUCACAUGACGGAGACCGAGUUCCAGUCCGCGUCAGCCUGUGCAUAGAAAUACAUUUUUGGAAUUUCUCAAGAACAAGUGUCCUGCUAUUCUGCAUCAACUAGUACAAUCCUGUUUCGUUCUUAGGUGAUUCCUUGGAAUGUCCUGAACCAAGAGAAAAGCAUGAGACUCUCGUGGCCGAUCAACCAAGUUGUUUUAGUCAUGCAUUUUUGUCGGUUUGUAAUGUUUAUGUCUUAGGCUAUGGCUCUCUGUCAUUCAUGAAUCCUGUCAGUGUAACUUGUAGUUUAUGCCCCCUUAUCAAUGGAAUUCAAUAAUUUUCACGCGAAAGAAAAUUGUUUCGUAUUGUCGAACCAAUGGAUUGUAAUUAUUUUUGUCACGAAAUUUAAAUAGGAAAGGACUGCAUUUUUCUUCUUUAA